rnacentral:rRNA from 1 species
UGGUGGAGUGAUUUGUCUGGUUAAUUCCGAUAACGAACGAGACUCUAUCUUGCUAAAUAGUCGCAGUUUACUCUGACUGCUGAGCUUCUUAGAAGGACAGGGGGUCAUAACCCCCACGAGAUUGAGCAAUAACA